AAUAAUAACAGGUCAGUUUUGGUGAAGAGAAACGGAUGGAUUUCGUGAUUUAAUCAAAAGGAAUGGAAGAUGAUAUGAAUUGAAAGACAUAACCGGUUAUUCGUUCAUGUUUUGCAUAACUUAAUGAAGUGAGGUUCCUUCAUCCAAAACUCUCACAACAACCCUCAAAUUGGACACAAUCGUCUAGAUUCCAGUGUUGACGCGCCUUUUUUGGU